UCCCUAGUGGUCUAGUGGCUAAGGAUCUUGCGCUCUCACCGCCAUGACUCAGGCUUGAUUCCCGGGCAGGGAA